ACCCAGGACCAGCUGUGUGCUCUUUGGGCAGCAGAGCUCUUGGGGUCCUCUGCACCAUGGCCUGGCCUCUUGUCUGCCUCUUACUGCUCACUGUCUGCUCAGGUUCCUUCUCCCAGCUUGUGCUGACUCAGUCCCCCUCCAUGUCUGUGUCCCUGGGAGCCACAGCCAGACUCACCUGCACCCUGAGCAGUCAGCACAGCACCUACACUAUUGCUUGGCACCAGCAGAGCCCAGGAAAGGCCCCUCGGUAUCUCAUGUACAUUACCAGCAGUGGAGGUGCAAGCAGGGGCGAUGGGAUCCCUGAUCGCUUCUCUGGCUCCAGCUCUGGCGCAGACCGAUACUUGUCCAUCAGCAACAUCCAGCCUGAGGAUGAAGCCGAUUACUACUGUGGGGCAGGUCAUACAAUUGGUAAUAGCUAUGAGUAA